rnacentral:rRNA from 1 species
UACAGAGGUCCCAAGCGUUGUCCGGAUUUAUUGGGCGUAAAGAGCUCGUAGGUGGUUCGGUAAGUCAGGUGUGAAACCUCCAGGCUCAACCUGGAGACGCCACUUGAUACUGCUGUGACUGGAGUCCGGUAGGGGAGCGUGGAAUUCCUGGUGUAGCGGUGAAAUGCGCAGAUAUCAGGAGGAACACCAGCGGCGAAGGCGGCGCUCUGGGCCGGUACUGACACUGAGGAGCGAAAGCGUGGGGAGCGAACAGG